GGAUAUUGAGUUAGGAUUUAGAUCAACGCUGCCCCCCUGCUUAGGCCCGCAAAUGUGGCACUUUGCUUAUUGCUGACUCCGGAAAGUGGCGGAGGGGUGAGUAACACACCCAAACAUACCCCAAGGGGAGGGAGCUGACCUACAAACGGUGUCUAAUUCCGACUUCUGUCUACGGACUUUCAAUUUGUCAUCAUGGGAGUGGCCGGCUUUGGAGUAAUUUGCUGGUACUGUAAAUGUCUACGUUGCCCAUUAUCCCGAGCUGUGUAGAGAGGAUGAUCCCCCACACUGAAAGUGAAAAACGACCAAAACUCCUCCCCUACGCCCCCCCCGGUAAUUUUGCACUCUGGGAAAAAGCCUGAUGGAACACUGCCGGGUGGGGCAUGAUGGUUUACUGACUGCAACCUCUUUUUAUAUGAGAUGACUACGACCGUGCCAUAUGAAUAACGAGCCGCCAGAUACCUGCCUCUAGCUUCGUAGAUACUCCGAAUCCGUCCGUUAUCGGUAUUGAUCGGCCCUUAAGAGUUAAGUAAAGCGGCUAAGUCCACCGUUUGUGAGGGAGCGCGUCCUUUCCUUUAUGUUUUAACUUGCCCUGCUUUGGCACAAGGGGGGGAUACAGGUAGCUGGAUUUUUUAGUGGAGGAGUAAUCUACCCCCUUAUAUUUGCAAAGAAACCCUCGGGUAGAGGCUAGACUACGGGUUGUUUUUCAGACGCGUUUGCUACCAACGCGUUUCGUAGCCAGACCGGAUUAAAACCCCCCGGGUAGUCCUAGCCCUGCAAAAGUGGGGGAUUCCUAACCAUAUAGCAGGGGGCCAUCCCCCCCCCCGCCAAUAGAAAACUCACGCGUACUCUCCUUCCCCGUCCGCGGAGAAAAAACUAGUUUCUAAUUUUUAGAUCAUAAGAGGUAAUGGCUCGGGGUAUUCUCUCACCUAUUGUGGUUGUAACUGUGUGCUCGCCCUUUAACUCUACACAGGCUUGAGCGACAACAAAUAACCA
rnacentral:rRNA from 1 species